GAUGAACGCUGGCGGCGUGCCUAAUACAUGCAAGUCGAGCGAACGGACGAGAAGCUUGCUGCUCUGAUGUUAGCGGCGGACGGGUGAGUAACACGUGGAUAACCUACCUAUAAGACUGGGAUAACUUCUGGAAACCGUAGCUAAUACCGGAUAAUAUUUUGAACCGCAUGGUUCAAAAGUGAAAGACGGUCUUGCUGUCACUUAUAGAUGGAUCCGCGCUGCAUUAGAUAGUUGGGAAGGUAACGGCUUACCAGGGCAACGAUGCAUAGCCGACCUGAGAGGGUGAUCGGCCACACUGGAACUGAGACACGGUCCAGACUCCUACGGGAGGCAGCAGUAGGGAAUCUUGCGCAAUGGGCGAAAGCCUGACGGCGCAACGCCGCGUGAGUGAUGAAGGUCUUCGGAUCGUAAAACUCUGUUAUUAGGGAAGAACAUAUGUGUAAGUAACUGUGCACAUCUUGACGGUACCUAAUCAGAAAGCCACGGCUAACUACGUG
rnacentral:rRNA from 1 species